UGAACGCUAGCGACAGGCUUAACACAUGCAAGUCGAGGGGCAGCACGGGAGUAGCAAUACAACUGGUGGCGACCGGCGCACGGGUGAGUAACGCGUAUGCAACCUACCUAUCAGAGGGGAAUAACCCGGCGAAAGUCGGACUAAUACCGCAUAAAACAGGGGCACCGCAUGGUGAUAUUUGUUAAAGAAAUUCGCUGAUAGAUGGGCAUGCGUUCCAUUAGGUAGUUGGUGAGGUAACGGCUCACCAAGCCGACGAUGGAUAGGGGAACUGAGAGGUUGGUCCCCCACACUGGUACUGAGACACGGACUAGACUCCUACGGGAGGCAGCAGUGAGGAAUAUUGGUCAAUGGGCGAGAGCCUGAACCAGCCAAGUCGCGUGAAGGAAGAAGGAUCUAUGGUUCGUAAACUUCUUUUGCAGGGGAAUAAAGUGCAGGACGUGUCCUGUUUUGUAUGUACCCUGAGAAUAAGGAUCGGCUAACUCCGUGCCAGCCGCCGC
rnacentral:rRNA from 1 species